UGGGGCCGGGCUGCUGCAGUGCCCGCUGGGGCCUGGAGGGGGCGGCCGCGGCCGCUGAUUCCGGAUCCCGCCGCUGAUCCCCAGCCGGGCCUGGCUCCGCCACCUCGGCACCAUGAAGGCGAUAAUCCAGCGGGUCACCCAGGCCAGCGUGACAGUGGGUGGGGAACAAAUAAGUUCCAUUGGAAGAGGCAUCUGUGUGUUGCUGGGUAUUUCUUUGGAAGAUACUCACAAAGAGCUAGAACACAUGGUUCGCAAGAUUUUAAACUUGCGUGUGUUCGAAGACGAAAGCGGGAAACACUGGUCUAAAAGCGUGAUGGAUAAACAGUAUGAGGUGCUUUGUGUCAGCCAGUUUACUCUGCAGUGCAUCCUGAAAGGAAACAAACCAGACUAUCACAUGGCUAUGCCAGCAGAGCAAGCAGAGUCUUUCUACAACAACUUCCUAGAACAACUUAAAAAAGCCUACAAACCAGAGCUUAUUAAAGAUGGCAAGUUUGGAGCCUACAUGCAGGUAAACAUCCAGAAUGAUGGUCCUGUGACUAUAGAACUGGAAUCCCCUGCUGCCACCAUGGACCCGAAGCAGCUGACAAAGCUCGAAAAACAGCAGCAAAGGAAAGAGAAGACCAGAACCAAGGUACCCUCUGAAUCAAGUAGAGAAAGAAAUGCCCCUCGUAAUAAGGAUGACCCCAGUGCAAGCAGUGGAGCAGAGGGAGACGUGUCUUCUGAAAGGGAACCUUGAUCCUCAAAAGCAGGCCUCAGAUGGACUUUCUUCCGUUCAUGAUAAUUAUCAGCUGCAGACUUUUGCUUAUACAAUGUCACCAGAGACCCGUCUGCAAUUCUCAGUGACCAGUUGCAGUAGUUCAUCAUCAUCAUUGGAUAGCUCCGUACUUUUGCCUUUCAGACUGUCAUGGCACAUGAGCCAGAAGGUUUUAUAGGACUUUUCCAUUAGCAGCAAUAAUCAGACCAUCCCCAGCCUUGUUCCAGCUAGCGAAGACUGGUUUGUGGUGUCUCCUUUAAAGAUUCUGACAAAGUCAACUCUAUCUUUAAAAAAAAAAAAUCACAUAUGUGGAAGAAAUUGGACAUGUGCUUGGAAGGAGGAGCAUGGUGGAAGGAAGGGCACAAGGAUAGGGGAGGUGUUGAAAGAUUGAUGGUUGGGGGGGAAGAAUGUAAUUAAUGGAUUGUGGGGAAAUAUGAGUAUGGAAUUGAUGGUUAAAAACAUAAGAACGGCCAUACUGGGUCAGACCAAAGGUCCAUCUAGCUCAGUAUCCUGUCUUCCCACAGUGGCCAAUGCCAGGUGCCCCAGAAGGAAUGAACAGAACAGGCAGUCACCCAAGUGAUCCAUGCCCUGCGGCCCACUCCCAGCCUCUGGUUUGUUAAGGGGUGAAGUAAGACCAGGGUAUAAAUAGGUGGAUUUGGGUCGGUGGGCAGACUGUUGCUUAGGGGGUGUGGUUUUUGCUUAGGAGGCAUUACAUGAACCUCUGAGGCCAACAUUUUUAGGGAAGCGCCCUGUUAACAUUUUGGCGGCAGCACAUCUCUGGUCAGGCAGACCUUUAGUCUAAAAUGGGGUUUUGGAAAAUAGUUUCCUGACAGUGUGGUGUGUUACACAAGCGUUAUAAAGUAGUGGCAAAAACCCCUGUGAGUGACUGACUCAAAACUCAGUUGGACAAAGCAUUUAAGGUUAUACUGUAGGGGAUGGUCCUAAACUGAGGAGUGAACUAUGUUACCUUAAAUGUGUUUUUCAUUUUUAAUUUCUCUUAUUUUUAUGAGAACUGCUGCAGGUUAAAUGAUGGUACUUUUAAAAAAAAUUGCUCAGUAUUUCAGAUGAAGAAUCAGAUCCCUGUGUACCUGAAUCCGUGGUUUGCAGCUUGUUCUUCAUUUCUUUUUGUGGCGUUUGAUGACUUGCCAGCCUGCCGUGCAUUAGUCCAGCUGCACUGAAAUGGCUAAAUCCGGUGGCGGUUUGUCAUACAAAGGCUAUGUUGGAGCCUUAAGAAUUCACAGUUUACAUUAUCCUCAGAGUUGAUCUUAAAAGACUUUGGAAAAGAAAGAAAAGCAGGAAAAUAGAACUAAGAAAUUAUGACUCUACAUCAUUCUGUACUAAAAACAACCAAAGGAAAGUUACCAGUUUCAGUUAAAAUGUAUUCGUAGUAGUGAAAAUGAUUCACAGCAUUUUUCUGUGCAUCUGUGUUUGUUUUCACAUGGUUUACUGAAUGAAGGGUGAUUUUUUUAAUGCAGAUUGUAACAGAACAUAUGACAACAGAGCACAUGAUCAAUUUCCAAAAAUAAAUCAGUUUUUCCUCAAAUUCUGACUUUAAUUCUGAAGAUAUCUCAAAGCAAGCUUGUAUUUUCAUUUGCAUUGUGUAGUGCCAUGUGCUGCCUGUUUCCAUAGCAAUGUAUAAAUCUGUGUACAUUACCAUAUGUUGUACAAUCUCUGUCUAACACCAGGUUUGGGAGUACAGUCUUUUUUCAUGUGUUAAAAAAAACUGUCAUUGAUAAUUUAUCUUGUGAAAUACGUGUGUCUUAUAAAACUUUAAAAAAAAAAAACACUUUAUUAAACAAAUUACACUACCUUAUCACCUGUUGGUGUUUGAUAUGGAUUGCUGUGAUCUUGGGAACAUAAUGAACUUUAACAAUGCAACUAAUGCAGAGCACAAGUAUCUGUCCGAAAAAUUUUUAAUAGAAGAGUAUCAUAUUCCUCUCGCCCUUAAAAAAAUUCUAUUGACAAAAGUUUCUUCCUUGGUACAUUUAACUUUUUAGGCAUAGUCAAUCUAGAUCUUCUAGACACUUUCCUUUGGCCACCAAAAUUUUAGAGGCAGCUGCUCCAUCUACAGUAUCUUGCAUCUGGUGACAUUUCUAUCCGCUUGAGAGGCAGAAUAGCCUUUGAAAACUGGCAGAGUGCAGUGAGAGCAGAGAACUAGCAGACUACAAAAACUGUGGUUGCGUGAAAGCCCAGGAAAUUUUAGUCCUGUCCCUUUAACUCUUCUGAGAGGGGAAAUUAAAGGCUAUGGUGUCUGCCUCUUUGUUAGAUGUAGUAGGACAUUUAUAAAAUGUAUUUGUCAAGGAAGGAGUCAUUGUUACCAGGGUAACCCCAGGCAAGAACAUAAUUCCUGCUGAAUAGCAGUGAUUCAUUAAAAAAAACAUUAAAAAAAAAUGUUUGUCAUACAUUGGUUUGAGUGUUCUGUGAACAGAAGCAUUUAUUUUUAAAAUUUCCUUGUAUGCCUGGAUGGAAUCUAAAUUACUUGUGUCACUAAAUUAUUCCUUUGCAAGAUGAAGCAUUUACUUUCUGCAGCGUUAGAUUUCCUCUGAACUCUGUCUCUGUACUUUAUGAUGUGAAAACUGUUCUAUCCAGUAUUGUAGCACUACCUGACUGACGAACUGUCGUUCUGAAUCCAAUUGUUACUGUAUUGACAUAAUUGCAGACUAUAAAACCGUCCAUGCUCGCUUGCCCAUGUCGCGUUUCCAAAUGCUGCUCUCUGCUUGUGUUUAUAAUUCACAGUUUAUUGUCUAAUAAAACAUUUGACUGAGGA